rnacentral:rRNA from 1 species
ACGGAAGGCAGCAGUGGGGAAUAUUGCACAAUGGGCGCAAGCCUGAUGCGGCGAUGCCGCGUGAGGGAAGAAGGUUUUCGGAUUGUAAACCUCUGUCAACAGGGACGAAAAUGACGGUACCUGUGAAGGAAGCUCCGGCUAAAUACGUGCCAGCAGCCGCGGUAAUACGUAGGGAGCAAGCGUUAUCCGGAAUUACUGGGUGUAAAGGGAGUGUAGGCGGGACUGUAAGUCAGAUGUGAAAUAUGCCGGCUCAACUGGCAGACUGCAUUUGAAACUGCGGAUCUUGAGUGAAGUAGAGGUAAGCGGAAUUCCUAGUGUAGCGGUGAAAUGCGUAGAUAUUAGGAGGAACAUCAGUGGCGAAGGCGGCUUACUGGGCUUUAACUGACGCUGAGGCUCGAAAGCGUGGGGAGCAAACAGGAUUAGAUACCCUGGUA